UGUUGCUCCUACACUAUUAAUUUCUAAAAAAAUUAUAAGUUCAUAAUGCAUAUCCAUGUACUAUCUGAGUUUUGGAUUCUUUUUAACCAUAUCCCCAUAUCCUAGAUUUUAGAAAAAAGGAAUCCGAUUCUGGGAUAUGUACUUGUAUUAGACAACCGCACCCGAGUCCAAGCGACAUAGGUGUGCAGUAGGUGGCCAAAAGUUUUUAUAGAAAGUUGUCUCUGUGCAUCAACAUUUAUCUCUUGUAUCUCGACUACUGAUCACUUGUGCAUUCUCACAGGUAUAUCCAGAGCACAUGUGCCACCUCUGGGGAAGGGCUUUAUGAGGGUCUGGACUGGCUCUCCAACAACAUCGCCAACAAGGCAUAAAGGAGACAAUAUUUGAUGACUAUGAUCGCUCGACUCUUGUCAAAGAGGAGAUUGUCUUUUUUCCGGGUCUUUUUUAUCUAGUCAACUUGAGUAUUCCGUACUUUGAUCAGUUUAUUGUUUUCUUAGAUAUUUUGUCAUUUCUGUCGUGUAGGUUUAUGUUCAAAUCAUGUGAUUUUAGCAUUCCUGAAUACGCUAUGUACCUUUUUGGAUUGAUUAAUUUUGAAAAUGGCGCUCUUCUGCUCA